UAUUUCUACGUUUGCUUCAUCCUUGGUUGCUGCUCUUCUAUUGCUUUUAGAAUUAACAAAAGUCAACGCUCAGGAAGAUAUAUAUUUGAAGUUGGGUUUGGCUUAACAUAAGUGUCAUGACUAGGGUUUCAAAUGUUCCAUCCAAGUAUUGGAUGGAUUUACCAAGGUAUAGCAAAGAGUAUAUUGAUGGGGUACAAUCUUUGUAAGAAUUUGCUUACCUUUAUGGAGAUUUUCAAGGCGAGGAAAUUUAAUGCCCAUGUGCAAAGUGUUGCAAUAUUCGUUGGACUCAAAGGAAUGUAAUAUAUGAUCAUCUAAUAUGCUAUGGAUUUGUUCAAGGUUAUACAAGAUGGAUUAAU